rnacentral:rRNA from 1 species
UUGCUGACGAGUGGCGGACGGGUGAGUAAUACUUAGGGAUCUGCCUCUGUGCGGGGGAUAACUAUUGGAAACGAUAGCUAAUACCGCAUAACGUCUACGGACCAAAGAGGGCUUUCGGGCUCUCGCGCAGAGAGGAACCUAAGCGAGAUUAGCUUGUUGGUGAGGUAAAGGCUCACCAAGGCGACGAUCUCUAGCUGUUCUGAGAGGAAGAUCAGCCACACUGGAACUGAGACACGGUCCAGACUCCUACGGGAGGCAGCAGUGGGGAAUAUUGCACAAUGGGGGAAACCCUGAUGCAGCCAUGCCGCGUGUGUGAAGAAGGCCUUCGGGUUGUAAAGCACUUUCAGUUGUGAGGAAAGUUAUGUAGUUAAUACCUGCAUGAUGUGACGUUAACAACAGAAGAAGCACCGGCUAACUCCGUGCCAGCAGCCGCGGUAAUACGGAGGGUGCGAGCGUUAAUCGGAAUUACUGGGCGUAAAGCGCACGCAGGCGGUCUGUUAAGCUAGAUGUGAAAGCCCCGCGCUCAACGUGGGAGGGUCAUUUAGAACUGGCAGACUAGAGUCUUGGAGAGGGGAGUGGAAUUCCAGGUGUAGCGGUGAAAUGCGUAGAGAUCUGGAGGAACAUCAAUGGCGAAGGCAACUCCCUGGCCAAAGACUGACGCUCAUGUGCGAAAGUGUGGGUAGCGAACAGGAUUAGAUACCCUGGUAGUCCACACCGUAAACGCCGUCUACUAGCUGUUUGUGGAUUUAAUCCGUGAGUAGCGAAGCUAACGCGAUAAGUAGACCGCCUGGGGAGUACGG